UACGUAGGUGGCAAGCGUUGUCCGGAUUUAUUGGGCGUAAAGAGCGUGUAGGCGGCCAGGUAGGUCCGCUGUGAAAACUCGAGGCUCAACCUCGAGAUGUCGGCGGAAACCAUCUGGCUAGAGUCCGGAAGAGGAGAGUGGAAUUCCUGGUGUAGCGGUGAAAUGCGCAGAUAUCAGGAAGAACACCCGUGGCGAAGGCGGCUCUCUGGGACGGUAUUGACGCUGAGGCGCGAAAGCCAGGGGAGCAAACGGG
rnacentral:rRNA from 1 species